GACGAACGCUGGCGGCGUGGCUCAUACAUGCAAGUAGAACGCAAUCGCGAUUGGGUGAGUACCGCGUAGCUACCUGCCCCAUAGCGGGGGCUAACUGUUGGAAACGAUAGCUAAUACCGCAUACUGUGAGCUGGACCUGCGUUGUAUUAGCUAGUUGUUGAGGUAAAGGCUCACCAAGACGACGAUACAUAGCCGACCUGAGAGGGUGGUCGGCCGCGCUGGGCCUGGAGCACGGCCCAGACUCUUGCGGGAGGCAGGAGUUGGGAAACUUCGGCAAUGGGCCGAGGUCUGGCCUGGGAACGCCGCGGGAGUGAAGAAGGUCUUCGGAUCGAAAAGCGCUGUUGUUAGAGGAGCGGUAACUAACCAGAAAGCGACAGCGAACUACGUGCCAGCAGCCGCGGUAAUUC
rnacentral:rRNA from 1 species